UGAUGAUGAUGAAGCUUAUUCCAUACAUUCGCGGUUUCCACCAGAAGAACGGCUCUUGUUCUGAAGAUGGCCCAUUGUCCUUCCUUGGAUGUCUGAAUCA